UGGGGAAUAUUGCACAAUGGGCGCAAGCCUGAUGCAGCAACGCCGCGUGAACGAUGAAGGUCUUCGGAUCGUAAAGCUCUGUUGCAGGGGAUGAUAAUGACGGUACCCUGUGAGGAAGCCCCGGCUAACUACGUGCCAGCAGCCGCGGUAAUACGUAGGUCCCUAGCGUUGUCCGGAUUUAUUGGGUGUAAAGCGAGCGCAGGCGGUUAGAAAAGUCUGAAGUGAAAGGCAGUGGCUCAACCAUUGUAGGCUUUGGAAACUGUUUAACUUGAGUGCAGAAGGGGAGAGUGGAAUUCCAUGUGUAGAGGUGAAAUGCGUAGAUAUAUGGAGGAACACCGGUGGCGAAAGCGGCUCUCUGGUCUGUAACUGACGCUGAGGCUCGAAAGCGUGGGGAGCGAACAGG
rnacentral:rRNA from 1 species